GCAGGGUCCUCGGAUAUAUCUGGUAUAGGUCACUUGUUUAAUGGGGACUGUUGGGGUGGUUGCUUCAGUCAACUGCGAGAGAUCAGUCUUUUGCAUUUUAUUCUUGGUACAAUAAAAGGUGUGUUUAGGAGCAUGCCUUGGCAUCCUGAAAGGGAAUUGCAGACAGAUUUGAUCACCAGUAUGAUGUAAAUGGAAAUAGAUAGCUGCAGCUGAACACACGGGUGAGGUUUGAAGUUAAAACAGAUUAAAAAAUAUUAUGUCUACUGGAAUCAUAAUUAAAGGGCACAUUGUAUUGGUGUUUAUAGUUCAACAAACCAUUAAAGGAAUAACUCGUCACACUGCUCUGACCAGUUUUCGCUCCACCCCGAUAGGUUCAGGUCAGAUUCCAGAGAUGCAACGAGAGAAGGAGAUGUGGGUUCACCUCUGUGCACACCCAGAAGGACAAUGCCCUCACUUUCGGCUCAACCAUUUAAUGUUUUAUUUUUUAGAAGCAUAGAAAAUAGGUGCAGGAGGAGGCUAUUUGGCCCUUCGAGCCUGCACCACCAUUCAUUGUGAUCAUGGCUGAUCAUCCACAAUAAUCAGUGCCUGCCUUCUCCCCAUAUCCUUGAUUCCGCUAGCCCCUAGGUUCCGAGAACAUUAUCUAACUCUCUUUUAAACUUAUCCAGUGAAUUAUACUGCCUUCUGUGGCAGAGAAUUCCACAAAUUCACAACUCUCUGGGUGAAAAAGUUUUUUCUCUUCUCAGUUUUAAAUGGCCUCCCAUUUAUUCUUAGACUGUGGCCCCUGGUUCUGUGGCCCCUGGUUUAAACUGUGCCUGAGCAAUAAGGUAAAAAAGAGAGGACAAAAGAAGCAAUGUGUACAUUCGAAGCUAAACAUAAACAAAGCUGCUACUAAAGAGCAUUGAUUGGUGAGGCCACACCAGGAGGAUUGUCGAAGACUGGUUCCCUUAAGAAAUUAAAAUGUUGGCAGUCUAGAAGAGAUUCCCUGGGAUAAUCCCUAGAGAGAUAGUUUAAUUAUCAAAGGCUAAAAGAUUUAGAGUAUUUUUGUUAGAGUAGGAAGAAUAAGCGAUGAUUGAAUGUGCACAAAAAUGUCUGAAGAAGGGUGUCGACCUGAAACGUCACCUACUGCUUUUCUUCAGGUAUGCUGCCUGACCCGCUGAGUUACUCCAGUUAUUUGUGUCUAUCUAAGAUCCUAAGGAUUCAGGGAGAUGUUGAGAUGUUUCCAAGAGAGGGAGAGUCUUGAUGGAAGGGACAGAGUUACAAAAUUUAGAGGCAGUCAUUUAGAUUGGAGAUGUGUAAGAACUUCUGCCCGGAAUGGAUGGUGAAUCUAUGGAAUUCCCCACCCAUUUUUCAGAUCUAGUGGUCAUAUUGAAUGGCACAGCAGGUUUGAAAUGUCAGGUGGCCUAUCCUUGCUCAUAUUUCUUAUUGUUUGUGUGUUGGUCAAGAAGAUAAGAAUUCGGACGAAUAUUUCCCUGGAAGUUCUUCUUUGGAACUUCAGUAGAUCGGAUAGAAUACACAAAAGUAUUCUCGUUUAUGAAACAUUUUGAGUUCAUCAGCUUAAUGGAGAGGUUAAUGAUUAGAUUUUACUCCAAUGAUGAUAUAAUAUCAUCGAUAUUAAUAUUGACAAUUUUACAUGUCCAUACCAGUGGAGCAGGUAAUACAGAAGGAAAAAUAAACCAACUGUAUAAAUAUAGUGUUACGGCUACAGAGAAAGUGUGUAAACAUGUGCAAGGACAGAUAUGAGAUAAAUUGGAUGAUUAGGAAUUGAUCCUUAGCAUGGUGGGAGUUCGACAACAGUCAUGUUCAAGUCUCAGUUCAAGAGACCUAUCAAAAGCUUUUCAUUGUACUUCGGUGACAAUAAAUUAUAAACUACCACUAAACAGUAGAGAUGAUGCUGUACUUGAAUCUGGUGGUACUUGCUUUCUGCUUCUGUAUUUUCUUCCUGCUGCGAGAGGGGUGAGGAGAGAAUGACCAGGGCGUGGCUGUCUUGCCGCGACAACACCAAGUAUAGAAUGUACCGCAAGGCUCUGUGCCGGGACCGCAGCUAUUUACAAUAUACAUCAAUGAUUUAGUUGAAGGGAUUCAAAGUAACAUUAGCAAAUUUGGGUGGCAGUGUGAACUGUGACACAAAGCUGGGUGGCAGUGUGAAUUGUGAGGAGGAUGCUAUGAGAAUGCAGGGUGACUUGGACAGGUUGGGUGAGUGGGCAGAUGCAUGGCAGAUGCAGUUUAAUGUGGAUAAAUGUGAGGUUAUCCACUUUGGUAGCAAAAAUAGGAAGGCAGAUGAUUAUCUAAAUGGUGUCAAGUUGGGAAAAGAGGAAGCACAACGGGAUCUGGAACUGAUCCUGAGUCUAGAGAACCUAUAGAAUCUAUAGAAUCUUUAGUAGGGAGAGGUUAAAGAUGUCUGUGAAUACUCGUGCCAGGUGGUCUGCGUAGGUUCUUUUGCGAAUGGUUCUUGACUCCAUCCGGGCCUGUCUAUCUCCGUGGCAACUCUAUUGGUUAAAGGCAGGACAGAUAUUUUCUCGUUUGCCAAUUACAACCGGUUUCACAUGGCCUCGGAGAAUUAGGAGGCUUUUAUUGAAACCGGUUCCUCAGGUAUGUCUGGUCUGUAAUGCGCUAGUGAAAUCAUCCGUCAUUUAUCUGCAAUUCAGACGGGUGCUGGUAUGAACUGGUCUUAUCCAGCUGAGGUUGAAUUCUGAGAAUAUUCUGUGAUUACUUGGAAGGUCAUUUUUUUUUGAGGUGAAGAACAUUGGACCGUGCCAGCCUUUGGGGGCUAAAGCUACCUUUGCUUGGAAAUUAGCUGCUCCUGAAAAGCGAUGUCAACUCCUGACGGUAGACACAAAAAGCUGGAGUAACUCAGCGGGUCCGGCAGCAUCUCUGGAGAAAAGGAAUAGGUGACGUUUUGCAUCGAGACCCUUCUUCAGACUGAGAAUCAGGGGAGAGGGAAACUAAAGGAUAUGAGAAGGAAAAUCUACAGAAGAAAGAACAGUCAUCUGGAGAAUCAUUGCAUUUAUUUAACUUAAAAUAUGUUCCCUGUUCUCCCCGAAACAAUUAUACUGGAAUGAUCUAUCAUAAGAGGCUAUCCUGCCUUAUAUUUUAUAGAUCUCUGUGAGGAACCAACUGAGUCUAUACUGUUUCAAACAUUAGAUCAUCACUGAAUAAUAUGUCUGAGUACCACCGACAAUAGUUUCUUUGCUUUGUAGCCACAUGAUUAUUGGGGAUUAAACAUCAAAUCUGCUUGGCAUGAAGUUCAUGGAAAAAUAGUGCACAACCCACAACAGACAGGCAGAUUUUCAGUACAUUUUGAAAUGCGGCCAACUUUCUCUUUGGAAACUGGCAGACCUCUCUACAUUGAAGAGCUUCAAUAGGUUUUGAACAAUUUGGAGAAUUAAUUCCUGCAUUUUGGCUGGAUCAGAAAUCCCACAUCCUACAUAGUUUUCUAAUACAUUUCACAAUCCAAAUCCCCAUGUUUGAUUUGCACCUUAAUUGCCCCCUUAAUUCUUUGUCUCUUUAAUUGAACUGUACCACUAUCUUAUAAAUAAGGAACUGGCAAUGCUUUAUUAUACACCCGGCAGUUGUAAAUGUGGGUUUACUGCUAAAACAGCUGUCCAGUAUUUUCAAUUAACCUGUAGUU